CAGUAGCCGCGGUAAAACGGAGGGUGCAAGCGUUAAUCGGAAUUACUGGGCGUAAAGCGUGCGUAGGCGGUUCGUUAAGUCUGUUGUGAAAGCCCCGGGCUCAACCUGGGAAUGGCAAUGGAUACUGGCGAGCUAGAGUGUGUCAGAGGAUGGUGGAAUUCCCGGUGUAGCGGUGAAAUGCGUAGAGAUCGGGAGGAACAUCAGUGGCGAAGGCGGCCAUCUGGGACAACACUGACGCUGAGGCACGAAAGCGUGGGGAGCAAACAGGAUUAGAUACCCGAGUAGUCCCUGUCUCUUAUAC
rnacentral:rRNA from 1 species